rnacentral:rRNA from 1 species
GAUGAACGCUGGCGGCGUGCCUAAUACAUGCAAGUCGAGCGAACAGAUGAGGAGCUUGCUCCUCUGACGUUAGCGGCGGACGGGUGAGUAACACGUGGAUAACCUACCUAUAAGACUGGGAUAACUUCGGGAAACCGGAGCUAAUACCGGAUAAUAUAUUGAACCGCAUGGUUCAAUAGUGAAAGACGGUUUUGCCGUCACUUAUAGAUGGAUCCGCGCCGCAUUAGCUAGUUGGUAAGGUAACGGCUUACCAAGGCAACGAUGCGUAGCCGACCUGAGAGGGUGAUCGGCCACACUGGAACUGAGACACGGUCCAGACUCCUACGGGAGGCAGCAGUAGGGAAUCUUCCGCAAUGGGCGAAAGCCUGACGGAGCAACGCCGCGUGAGUGAUGAAGGUCUUCGGAUCGUAAAACUCUGUUAUUAGGGAAGAACAAAUGCGUAAGUAACUAUGCACGUCUUGACGGUACCUAAUCAGAAAGCCACGGCUAACUACGUG